CCCCGGGGGGGGUGCCGUGGGAGCCGGGCCACUGCUCAGCGCGCCGGGGUGGUGGCCGGACCCUGCUUCACCGGGGAGGAGGAGAAGGAACGCCGAAAGAAUUCUGUGGUGUUCCUGCUGGCACCGCCGAGGGCUGCCGGGCUGCCGAAGCCGACAGGCACUACUGCUCCAGCUUCCCCACCCGUAACGGCCUCCUGGUGCGGGACAGGUCCCAGCGGCAGGGGCUUUCCCGGGUGUCGUGCUAUCUGCUUUCCAUCCCAGCCUUCAUAUUGCACAAGAGGAAGGAAAGCCUCUGCCGUCCAGGGCUCCUGUCCCAUAACCGGGACGAAGCUGCCAGCAGCGCUAGCCUUUCAAAAGCCCCCAGUCAGUUCCCUCUCCUCCUGCCCUCCCAAAGCAGGAGGCUGGCCGCUUGCCACCAUCGCCCAGAUCCAAAUCAUGCCCUCCCUAGCAGAGAAUGAGCAGACCAUCAGAUGGAUUUCCUGCUAAAACGGAACAAAACAUUUUCCUUUAUAAAUACUACUUCCUGUAAUUGUAAUUGCAGUAACAGUGUUACGUUGCUAUGUGCUUUUCAGUUUUCCUUGUGAAAGGUUAUGAAGUCACAGCUCACAGUUGUUUGAAAAACUAGAAUUUUUGUAAUAAAUAAUAAUAA